rnacentral:rRNA from 1 species
AAAAACCGAGUAUUCUGAGUGAUUCCGCUGAGGAAUCUUUUUUCCUAGAUUCUAAAACGUCUAGGGAAUAAGGGGAGGGCAAGUCUGGUGUCAGCCGCCGCGGUAAUACCAGCUCCUCGAGUGGUCAGGGCGUUUAUUGGGCCUAAAGCAUCCGUAGCCUGCUCAGUAGGUCUCCUGUUAAAUCCAACGGCUCAACCGUUGGUCUGCAGGAGAUACCGCUGGGCUAGGAGGCGGGAGAGGCGGACGGUACUCCGAGGGUAGGGGUAAAAUCCUUUGAUCCCCGGAAGACCACCAAUGGCGAAGGCGGUCCGCCAGAACGCGCUCGACGGUGAGGGAUGAAAGCUGGGGGAGCGAACCGGAUUAGAUACCCGGGUAGUCCCAGCCGUAAACGAUGCUAGCUAGAUGAUUCAUUCGCAAGUCGCGAAUGAAGUGUCGCAGGGAAGCCGUUAAGCUAGCCGCCUGGGGAGUACGGUCGCAAGACUG